rnacentral:rRNA from 1 species
UACGUAGGGGGCAAGCGUUGUCCGGAAUCAUUGGGCGUAAAGAGCGUGUAGGCGGCUCGGUAAGUCCGCUGUGAAAGUCCAGGGCUCAACCCUGGAAUGCCGGUGGAAACUGUCGAGCUCGAGUCCAGAAGAGGCGAGUGGAAUUCCUGGUGUAGCGGUGAAAUGCGCAGAUAUCAGGAGGAACACCAAUGGCGAAGGCAGCUCGCUGGGACGGUACUGACGCUGAGACGCGAAAGCGUGGGGAGCAAACAGG